GGCCUUUCAGCCGGCAGAGCACGAGGCUCUUCAUCUCAGGGUCAUGGGUUUGAGCCCCAUGUUGGCCA